rnacentral:rRNA from 1 species
ACUCAAAGGAAUUGACGGGGGCCCGCACAAGCGGUGGAGCAUGUGGUUUAAUUCGAAGCAACGCGAAGAACCUUACCAAGGCUUGACAUGGAGAUGACCGGCAUAGAGAUAUGCCUUCCCUUCGGGGCAUCUCACACAGGUGGUGCAUGGUUGUCGUCAGCUCGUGUCGUGAGAUGUUGGGUUAAGUCCCGCAACGAGCGCAACCCUUACGUCCAGUUGCCAGCAUGUAAUGAUGGGCUACACUGGAGGGACUGCCGUGGACAACACGGAGGAAGGUGGGGAUGACGUCAAAUCAUCAUGCCCCUUAUGUCUUGGGCUACACACGUGCUACAAUGGGCAAAACAACGUGAUGCGAAGCAGCGAUGCUAAGCCAAACACUUAAAAAUGCCCUCAGUUCGAAUUGCAGGCUGCAACCCGCCUGCAUGAAGUUGGAAUCGCUAGUAAUCGCGAAUCAGCAUGUCGCGGUGAAUACGUUCCCGGGCCUUGUACACACCGCCCGU